CCUACGGGUGGCAGCAGUCGAGAAUCAUUCACAAUGGGGGAAACCCUGAUGGUGCGACGCCGCGUGGGGGAAUGAAGGUCUUCGGAUUGUAAACCCCUGUCAUGUGGGAGCAAAUUAAAAAGAUAGUACCACAAGAGUAAGAGACGGCUAACUCUGUGCCAGCAGCCGCGGUAAUACAGAGGUCUCAAGCGUUGUUCGGAAUCACUGGGCGUAAGGCGUGCGUAGGCUGUUUCGUAAGUCGUGUGUGAAAGGCGCGGGCUCAACCCGCGGACGGCACAUGAUACUGCGAGACUAGAGUAAUGGAGGGGGAAACGGAAUUCUCGGUGUAGCAGUGAAAUGCGUAGAUAGCGAGAGGAACACUCGUGGCGAAGGCGGGUUCCUGGACAUUAACUGACGCUGAGGCACGAAGGCCAGGGGAGCGAAAGGGAUUAGAUACCCCGGUAGUC
rnacentral:rRNA from 1 species